AAACGCGCGUCUCCCGGUUUCACAAGUGGCUGACUCGUUAACCUCGUGGUUAGCUCAGUUUUUAAAAAAUAUGUAUAUUUUUAUUUUUAUUUUAUUUUUUGAGACGGAGUCUUGCUCUAGAGUCGCCCAGGCUGGAGUGCAGUGGCGCGAUCUCGGCUCACUGCAACCUCUGCCGCCCGGGUUCAAGCGAUUCUCCUGCCUCGGCCUCCGGAGUAGCCGGGAUUACAGGCACGUGCCGCCACGCCCGUCUAAUUUUUGUGUUUUUAGUAGAGACGGGGUUUCAGCAUCUUGGCUAGGCUGGUCUUGAACUCCUGACCACGUGAUCCAUCCGUCUCGGCCUCCCAAAGUGCUGGGAUUACAGGCGUGAGCCACCGCGCCCGGCCAAUAUUUUAAUUUUUUUAUUAAGAUGGAGUCUUGCUCUAUCGCCCAGGCUGGAGUGCAGUGGCGCGAUCACGGCUCACUACAACCUCCGCCUCCCGGGCUCAAGCGAUUCUCCUGCCUCAGCCUCCCGAGUAGCUGGGAUUACAGGCAUGUGCCACCAUGCCCAGGUAAUUUUAGUACUUUUAGUUGAGACGGGGUUUCACCAUGUUGGCCAGGCUGGUCUCGAACUCGUGACCUCAACUCGCGCCCACCUCGGCCUCCCAAAGUGCUGGGAUUACAGGCGUCAGCCACCGUGCCCAGCCGGUUAGCUCAUAACGCAGUCCUUUCACUCGCCCAGCCGGGUUGGGAGCCUGAUGGGAAGGGCAAGGCUUUCCUGGCAUCCAUUACCAAAGCAUAAUAUUUGCAUGGCACUUGUUAUUACUCUUUAAGUCUGUCUGUCCUACCUCACUGUAAACCUUACCGGGCAGAGACCAUGUUUGUUGCUUACCAUUACCCCCACUUAGCUGAAUGUCUGGCACAUAAUAGGUGUUCAAUACACACAGAAAGGAAGGGAGGGAGGGGAGAAAAGACUUAAGCUCAAUGUUAAUGGGCUGAAUUGUGUCCCCCCCAAAAUUCGUAUGUUCACGUUCUAAUCCCCAGUAACUCAAUGUGACUGUAUUUGGACAUAAGUUCUUCAAAGACGUGAUUAAAUUGAAAUGAGGUCAUUAGUGUGGACCCUUAUCUGACUGGUGUCCUUACAAGAAGAUAUUAUUAGGCCACAGGCAUAGAGGGAGAACACCACGUGAACAAGAAGGUAGCCAUCUAUAAGCCCAGGAGAGAGGCCAACCCUGUUGACGCUUGAUUUUAGACUUUCAGUCUCCAGAACAAUGAGAAAAUAAAUUUCUGUUGUUUAAGCCACUCAGUACGUGGUACUUUGUUAUGACAGUCCUAGCAAACUAAUACAGCUGGCUAAUGCUGGGCUGUACUCUACAAGAUUUAUUUCUAAGUAAACUUAUUUUGACUAAACCAAGUAAACUUAUUUUAAAUAAAUCACCUUUCCACAAACACCAGGGUUUGCACAUACUUAGAAGACAGAAAUAAAGUAUCAUCAUCUAAUAUAGUGGUUCUUUUCUGUGAACAUUUGGCAGCGUCAACCAGAAAUGUUUCUGGUUGUCAUAACUUGAGGAGGGGGGCAGUGAUGCUGGCAUCUAGUGGGCAGAGGCCAGGGAUGCGGCUAAACAUCCUACAGUGCACAGUACAAUCUCCCCUCCCCCAUACAAGCAAACAAUUAUCCAGCCCAAAACAUCAGCAGAGCUGAUAUUGAGAAACCCAAUGACAGAUGCACUUCUUAGAGUGAAAUUGAAAGAUAAUGGGGGACUCAAAGUUCUGGGUUUCUCUUUCUAUCUGCAAUAUUUUUCAAUUUACAUAAUUGAGGAUGAAAGGAUUUUUUAUGAAAUUUAUUUAAAUUUUGCUCCAAGGUCAAAU
rnacentral:lncRNA from 10 species